rnacentral:rRNA from 1 species
ACGCUAGCGGCAGGCUUAACACAUGCAAGUAGAACGGUAACAGUCCUUCGGGAGCUGACGAGUUGCGAACGGGUGCGUAACGCGUAUGCAACCUACCUAUAACUGAGGGAUAGCCCAUAGAAAUGUGGAUUAAUACCUCAUAACAACUAAAGAUGGCAUCAUCUUAAGUUUAAAACUCCGGUGGUUAUAGAUGGGCAUGCGUGACAUUAGCUAGUUGGUAAGGUAAUGGCUUACCAAGGCAACGAUCUAUAGGGGGUCUGAGAGGAUGGUCCCCCACACUGGAACUGAGACACGGUCCAGACUCCUACGGGAGGCAGCAGUAGGGAAUAUUGGUCAAUGGAGGCAACUCUGAACCAGCCAUGCCGCGUGUAUGAAGAAGGCGUUCUGCGUCGUAAAAUACUUUUACAUGGGAAGAAACGCUCUUUGCGAAGAGCUAUGACGGUACCAUGAGAAUAAGGACCGG